CACGUCGAAGUAAACUUUAAUUGACGUUUUUAUCGGCUACUUUGCCACGGUAAAAAAGUCAUACGUCAUGGUUUCUACCCACCUGAAAGCAUAUAUAUAACUUGAAUAUUGCUGGGUUAUGUGGAUACACCAGUCAGUCUGCCAAAGUGAGCAAUCGAAUUGGUCAAGAACGUUUAGUACUUCAAAAUGUGAGUAUAUAGAUAUACACUUUCACACGCGCCGUUUACCCCGGACGGUAUGAGAGGUGGGAUGAUUUUGAUGCUUGCAUGAUGAUAAGAAUGAGACGAAAGGCAACUUCAGCAAUUCUAUAUUAACAAGCUGAUCAUUUUGUUAAAUUGAGUCCAUUUGUCGAGCUCUAACCUCAAGUUUUUGUAUAUAUAGUGGGUGAUGCCGUGGUAUGGGUAAACAUCGAGAUUUUUGGGACUAUAUAACAUGUAGUUGCAUUGAAGGAUUUUUGUAGAUUUCGAGCGGAAAAUUUUAUACAAUUUUCUAGACUGAAAAUUACUUCGUGAUUUAAUUCUGGCAAUGCACCAAAAUCAUCUCUCGUCCCACGACAAAGUAUUAUAUAUAUAUAUAUAUAUAUAUAUAUAUAUAUAUAUAUAUAUAUAUAUAUAUAUAUAUAUAUAUAUAUAUAUAUAUAUAUAUAUAUAUAUAGUAUAUAUAUAUAUAUAUAUAUAUAUAUAUAUAUAUAUAUAUAUAUAUAUAUAUAUAUAUAUAUAUAUAUAUAUAUAUAUAUAUAUAUAUAUUCAUUUUCGCCGACAAAACUAGAAACAUUUAUGAAACGUCACUGACAGAACACGUACAACGCAACAAGAACACUUGCCCACUACCGAAACAAUGUAUGACCAACAACAUUAUUUACAUGCAAAGCCACAUGAGUCACAACGAACGCACGAACGACACUAAACACUACCGGUACUGACAUUGGUAUGACAGCGCGACUACAUUUAAGGAACGUUACGCUAACCACACUUCAUCUUUUCGUCAUAAAAAGACUCAAAUAAAACGGAACUUUCGAAACAUAUUUGGAAAUUUAUAAAAGAAAACAAUCAAGAUUAUACCAUCAAAUGGUCAAUUUUAAAACACGCUAUUUCGUACACGGGGGGAUCAAAACGCUGCAAUUUAUGUCUGGAAGAAAAAUAUUGCAUUUUAAAAGGCAUAAACAAAAACAAUUUACUCAAUAAAAGAAGCGAAAUUUUCGGCAAGAUUCGUCACAAAAAUCGAAUUCGAGUAAACAAGGUUGUUAACAAAAUUUAAUUACCCAAGCAUUGUUUCGCCUAAGCACGGUUUCGCCUAAGCAUUGUUUCGCCCACACGCAUUCCGCACAUUCUUUCGAUAGCAUAAAAGCAACCUAUAUUUUCGAAAUUACUCACCACCUGAUGAUAUAUCAAUAUAUAUAUAUAUAUAUAUAGUUUUUCGUUUUACCUCAAAAAACCACAACAGUCUGUUUCAUCUGUAUAGGAAUCAUCGAAAAACUAUAUUACGCUCUAUCUAUAUGGUAUUGAGCACUGUUUGUGUUUCGUAAAUAUAUAUAUAUAUAUAUAUAUAUAUAUAUAUAUAUAUAUAUAUAUAUAUAUAUAUAUAUAUAUAUAUAUAUAUAUAUAUAUAUAUAUAUAUCAAGAGAUGGCUACGUAGGAUAUACAACUAUUUCAAUUAAGGUUGUCCCCCAAGCAAAGCGGAAAAGUCGAAUACGCGAGCGCGACUAAGACUGCUGGGAAUCGCUAAUAAAUUCAUUCAUUUAAUAGCGAUUCCCAGCAGCCUUUCGCGCUCGUAUUCGACUUUUCCGCUUUGCUUGUGGACAACUUUAAUUGGAAUAGCUGUAUAUACAUAUAUAUACAUAUAUAUACGGCUCAUAAACGUUUGCAUACAUUAUUUAGUAUAUAUUUAUAUCUAAAGGGUGAGCAAGAGCAUCAUAAUCGCAUUCCUUUUGGUGAUCAUUUGUGUCAACCUGAGCGAGGGAAAGCUUACUGAGCGGAAUAUCAACAACGCAGCAGCACAAGUGAAUGAUGCACAUCCCGUUGCUCCAGUGGAAGACAGGAAACGUAGAUCUGCGGAGAAACCUCGUGUUGAUACUGAAAAUCGACUCCCACCUGGCUUUAGGAUGUAGAAGUUUGAUAAUGCAUGAAAAUUAAUGAAUCAGAUAUAGUUUAUAACAUUACUGUGUAGACCAUUCAGGACUAUAGUCAAGAAAACGUUUCUUAUGAGGUCACAUGCACUAUAUACUGUAUGAUUAGUUUUAGCUAUGGUUUUAGUUAACACGCGAUCUUAUCUGGUCAUGAUAUCGCGAAUAUAUACAGAUCAUUAGCGUGGCUUUAUCCUUUGUAUUGUUGCAGCGC